AAAACUAGUGUGGCAUAAAACCAACAAAAGCAAAACUCAAAUAAAAACAAAGCCACAAAAACAUCUACAAGUAUUAAAAACAGUAACAGUUCAGAUUAUAACAAGUCUAUUAUUUAGAUGAGAUCUGAACAGAUGAUUCUAUAAGUUGCAGCAUGAAUGUAACUUUGAACAGACACAGUCGACCAGAACGCCCAAAAAGGAGAAAACAAGUUGAGAACUGAUCAAAACCAAAUAGUAAGUAUUGAAGUGUAACACAGUAACACAUUGAACGAACACAUAGACCCUGAAUCAACAUCUUCACACCAGAUUAGAGGAUUCUUCUAAAUCAUAAAUUAAUCACACGGAUCAUUUUACAAACUGCUGUGUCUUCUGUUGUUACGUUUCAUCUAAAGAAAUGUUGUACGAGUUCUCUGAAAACGAUUCUUUCAUGUGUCCAGUAGUUGUCAUAUGGAGUUAUAACUGGAGAAAUACAAACCGUCUAGGAUCAUACUUUGUAUCCAUCUUUGUUUUUAAGUGUGGGAGAGUUUGUGCAGGCGCAUUGCUGGUGAAUACCAUUAGACAGGAAUAAAGUUACAGUUAACAUGCUUAUAUCACUGGAACACACAUGAAGCACUCCAGGUCUGCCAAGUUCAUGCCUUGUCCUAAUUUCAGUAUUUUUUUACCUAAAUUAAAGAUGUCAUAACAAAAGCAUAAAACUGAAAACAUGGUUGAUAAAACACCUGUCCGGCAAUAUUUUGGUGUUGAAAUGUGUAAUACCGUACGCUUCUCAAGAGUAAUGAAUUUCAAGUGGUGCCACAAUAAUCUCCAGAGAGCUCCUUAACACACCGCAAACUAAAUAUCUAUUCCAGAGCAAUUCUCUAACGUCUUAUAUUAACAGACUCUGUUUGGUCAAUCAGCCCUUUGCGAACAGCAACAGUUUGUGGUUAAAGUCUAGAAGUCCUCUGGACUCAGUUCAGAGUUCUCUUUAACUACUCAGUCCUACAAUGAGUCCACCAUGUGUUAUCCACUGGUUCUGACAGUCAUGGUGUCAAGGUGUUUGUUCUAUUGACAAUGAGUCCACCAUGUGUUAUCCACUGGUUCUGACAGUCAUGGUGUCAAGGUGUUUGGUCUAUUGACAAUGAGUCCACCAUGUGUUAUCCACUGGUUCUGACUGUCAUGGUGUCAAGGUGUUUGGUUUAUUGACAAUGAGUCCACCAUGUGUUAUCAACUGGUUCUGACAGUCAUGGUGUCAAGGUGUUUGGUUUAUUGACAAUGAGUCCACCAUGUGUUAUCCACUGGUUCUGACUGUCAUGGUGUCAAGGUGUUUGUUCUAUUGACAAUGAGUCCACCAUGUGUUAUCAACUGGUUCUGACUGUCAUGGUGUCAAGGUGUUUGGUUUAUUGACAAUGAGUCCACCAUGUGUUAUCCACUGGUUCUGACAGUCAUGGUGUCAAGGUGUUUGUUCUAUUGACAAUGAGUCCACCAUGUGUACUGGUUCUGACUGUCAUGGUGUCAAGGUGUUUGGUUUAUUGACAAUGAGUCCACCAUGUGUUAUCCACUGGUUCUGACUGUCAUGGUGUCAAGGUGUUUGUUCUAUUGACAAUGAGUCCACCAUGUGUUAUCAACUGGUUCUGACUGUCAUGGUGUCAAGGUGUUUGUUCUAUUGACAAUGAGUCCACCAUGUGUUAUCAACUGGUUCUGACUGUCAUGGUGUCAAGGUGUUUGUUCUAUUGACAAUGAGUCCACCAUGUGUUAUCCACUGGUUCUGACUGUCAUGGUGUCAAGGUGUUUGUUCUAUUGACAAUGAGUCCACCAUGUGUUAUCCACUGGUUCUGACUGUCAUGGUGUCAAGGUGUUUGUUCUAUUGACAAUGAGUCCACCAUGUGUUAUCCACUGGUUCUGACUGUCAUGGUGUCAAGGUGUUUGGUUUAUUGACAAUGAGUCCACCAUGUGUUAUCCACUGGUUCUGACAGUCAUGGUGUCAAGGUGUUUGUUCUAUUGACAAUGAGUCCACCAUGUGUUAUCCACUGGUUCUGACUGUCAUGGUGUCAAGGUGUUUGGUCUAUUGACAAUGAGUCCACCAUGUGUUAUCCACUGGUUCUGACUGUCAUGGUGUCAAGGUGUUUGUUCUAUUGACAAUGAGUCCACCAUGUGUUAUCCACUGGUUCUGACUGUCAUGGUGUCAAGGUGUUUGGUUUAUUGACAAUGAGUCCACCAUGUGUUAUCCACUGGUUCUGACAGUCAUGGUGUCAAGGUGUUUGUUCUAUUGACAAUGAGUCCACCAUGUGUUAUCCACUGGUUCUGACUGUCAUGGUGUCAAGGUGUUUGUUCUAUUGACAAUGAGUCCACCAUGUGUUAUCCACUGGUUCUGACUGUCAUGGUGUCAAGGUGUUUGGUUUAUUGACAAUGAGUCCACCAUGUGUUAUCCACUGGUUCUGACAGUCAUGGUGUCAAGGUGUUUGUUCUAUUGACAAUGAGUCCACCAUGUGUACUGGUUCUGACUGUCAUGGUGUCAAGGUGUUUGGUUUAUUGACAAUGAGUCCACCAUGUGUUAUCCACUGGUUCUGACAGUCAUGGUGUCAAGGUGUUUGUUCUAUUGACAAUGAGUCCACCAUGUGUUAUCAACUGGUUCUGACUGUCAUGGUGUCAAGGUGUUUGUUCUAUUGACAAUGAGUCCACCAUGUGUUAUCCACUGGUUCUGACUGUCAUGGUGUCAAGGUGUUUGGUUUAUUGACAAUGAGUCCACCAUGUGUUAUCCACUGGUUCUGACAGUCAUGGUGUCAAGGUGUUUGGUUUAUUGACAAUGAGUCCACCAUGUGUUAUCCACUGGUUCUGACUGUCAUGGUGUCAAGGUGUUUGUUCUAUUGACAAUGAGUCCACCAUGUGUUAUCCACUGGUUCUGACUGUCAUGGUGUCAAGGUGUUUGUUCUAUUGACAAUGAGUCCACCAUGUGUUAUCCACUGGUUCUGACUGUCAUGGUGUCAAGGUGUUUGUUCUAUUGACAAUGAGUCCACCAUGUGUUAUCCACUGGUUCUGACUGUCAUGGUGUCAAGGUGUUUGGUUUAUUGACAAUGAGUCCACCAUGUGUUAUCCACUGGUUCUGACAGUCAUGGUGUCAAGGUGUUUGUUCUAUUGACAAUGAGUCCACCAUGUGUACUGGUUCUGACUGUCAUGGUGUCAAGGUGUUUGGUUUAUUGACAAUGAGUCCACCAUGUGUUAUCCACUGGUUCUGACUGUCAUGGUGUCAAGGUGUUUGGUUUAUUGACAAUGAGUCCACCAUGUGUUAUCCACUGGUUCUGACUGUCAUGGUGUCAAGGUGUUUGUUCUAUUGACAAUGAGUCCACCAUGUGUUAUCAACUGGUUCUGACUGUCAUGGUGUCAAGGUGUUUGUUCUAUUGACAAUGAGUCCACCAUGUGUUAUCAACUGGUUCUGACUGUCAUGGUGUCAAGGUGUUUGUUCUAUUGACAAUGAGUCCACCAUGUGUUAUCCACUGGUUCUGACUGUCAUGGUGUCAAGGUGUUUGUUCUAUUGACAAUGAGUCCACCAUGUGUUAUCCACUGGUUCUGACUGUCAUGGUGUCAAGGUGUUUGGUUUAUUAUCAAUGAGUCCACCAUGUGUUAUCCACUGGUUCUGACAGUCAUGGUGUCAAGGUGUUUGGUUUAUUGACAAUGAGUCCACCAUGUGUUAUCAACUGGUUCUGACUGUCAUGGUGUCAAGGUGUUUGUUCUAUUGACAAUGAGUCCACCAUGUGUUAUCCACUGGUUCUGACUGUCAUGGUGUCAAGGUGUUUGUUCUAUUGACAAUGAGUCCACCAUGUGUUAUCAACUGGUUCUGACUGUCAUGGUGUCAAGGUGUUUGUUCUAUUGACAAUGAGUCCACCAUGUGUUAUCCACUGGUUCUGACUGUCAUGGUGUCAAGGUGUUUGGUUUAUUGACAAUGAGUCCACCAUGUGUUAUCCACUGGUUCUGACAGUCAUGGUGUCAAGGUGUUUGUUCUAUUGACAAUGAGUCCACCAUGUGUACUGGUUCUGACUGUCAUGGUGUCAAGGUGUUUGGUCUAUUGACAAUGAGUCCACCAUGUGUUAUCCACUGGUUCUGACUGUCAUGGUGUCAAGGUGUUUGGUCUAUUGACAAUGAGUCCACCAUGUGUUAUCAACUGGUUCUGACUGUCAUGGUGUCAAGGUGUUUGUUCUAUUGACAAUGAGUCCACCAUGUGUUAUCAACUGGUUCUGACAGUCAUGGUGUCAAGGUGUUUGGUCUAUUGACAAUGAGUCCACCAUGUGUUAUCAACUGGUUCUGACUGUCAUGGUGUCAAGGUGUUUGGUCUAUUGACAAUGAGUCCACCAUGUGUUAUCCACUGGUUCUGACAGUCAUGGUGUCAAGGUGUUUGUUCUAUUGACAAUGAGUCCACCAUGUGUUAUCAACUGGUUCUGACUGUCAUGGUGUCAAGGUGUUUGUUCUAUUGACAAUGAGUCCACCAUGUGUUAUCCACUGGUUCUGACUGUCAUGGUGUCAAGGUGUUUGUUCUAUUGACAAUGAGUCCACCAUGUGUUAUCCACUGGUUCUGACUGUCAUGGUGUCAAGGUGUUUGGUCUAUUGACAAUGAGUCCACCAUGUGUUAUCCACUGGUUCUGACUGUCAUGGUGUCAAGGUGUUUGGUCUAUUGACAAUGAGUCCACCAUGUGUUAUCAACUGGUUCUGACUGUCAUGGUGUCAAGGUGUUUGGUCUAUUGACAAUGAGUCCACCAUGUGUUAUCCACUGGUUCUGACUGUCAUGGUGUCAAGGUGUUUGUUCUAUUGACAAUGAGUCCACCAUGUGUUAUCCACUGGUUCUGACUGUCAUGGUGUCAAGGUGUUUGGUCUAUUGACAAUGAGUCCACCAUGUGUUAUCCACUGGUUCUGACUGUCAUGGUGUCAAGGUGUUUGGUUUAUUGACAAUGAGUCCACCAUGUGUUAUCCACUGGUUCUGACUGUCAUGGUGUCAAGGUGUUUGGUCUAUUGACAAUGAGUCCACCAUGUGUUAUCCACUGGUUCUGACUGUCAUGGUGUCAAGGUGUUUGUUCUAUUGACAAUGAGUCCACCAUGUGUUAUCCACUGGUUCUGACUGUCAUGGUGUCAAGGUGUUUGGUCUAUUGACAAUGAGUCCACCAUGUGUUAUCCACUGGUUCUGACUGUCAUGGUGUCAAGGUGUUUGGUCUAUUGACAAUGAGUCCACCAUGUGUUAUCCACUGGUUCUGACUGUCAUGGUGUCAAGGUGUUUGGUCUAUUGACAAUGAGUCCACCAUGUGUUAUCAACUGGUUCUGACUGUCAUGGUGUCAAGGUGUUUGGUCUAUUGACAAUGAGUCCACCAUGUGUUAUCAACUGGUUCUGACAGUCAUGGUGUCAAGGUGUUUGGUCUAUUGACAAUGAGUCCACCAUGUGUUAUCCACUGGUUCUGACUGUCAUGGUGUCAAGGUGUUUGUUCUAUUGACAAUGAGUCCACCAUGUGUUAUCCACUGGUUCUGACAGUCAUGGUGUCAAGGUGUUUGUUCUAUUGACAAUGAGUCCACCAUGUGUACUGGUUCUGACUGUCAUGGUGUCAAGGUGUUUGGUUUAUUGACAAUGAGUCCACCAUGUGUUAUCCACUGGUUCUGACUGUCAUGGUGUCAAGGUGUUUGGUUUAUUGACAAUGAGUCCACCAUGUGUUAUCCACUGGUUCUGACAGUCAUGGUGUCAAGGUGUUUGUUCUAUUGACAAUGAGUCCACCAUGUGUUAUCCACUGGUUCUGACUGUCAUGGUGUCAAGGUGUUUGGUCUAUUGACAAUGGUGAAAACGACAGACUUGGAGUCAUAGUGUCAUAGUGACUUGGAGUCAUUAGUGCAGCUGACUCGGUGGUGUAUAUGCACAGUAUCGGAGCUGGCAGGAGGAGAUGUAAGAACACUUGGUGGUACAAAGACCAUAACGUUAAAGUAUUGCAUUUGCUGUUCAACAAGAGUGACUAUCGAGAGGACUGUUAA